rnacentral:rRNA from 1 species
AUUGAACGUUGGCGGCAGGCCUAAUACAUGCAAGUCGAACGGCAGCACAGAGAGCUUGCUCUUGGGUGGCGAGUGGCGGACGGGUGAGUAACGCGUAGGAAUCUACCCAGUAGCGGGGGAUAGCCCGGGGAAACCCGGAUUAAUACCGCAUACGCCCCACGGGGGAAAGGCCGGGAUCUUCGGACCGGUCACUAUUGGAGGAGCCUGCGUUGGAUUAGCUUGUUGGUGGGGUAAAGGCCUACCAAGGCUGCGAUCCAUAGCUGGUCUGAGAGGACGAUCAGCCACACUGGAACUGAGACACGGUCCAGACUCCUACGGGAGGCAGCAGUAGGGAAUAUUGUGCAAUGGGCGAAAGCCUGACACAGCCAUGCCGCGUGUGUGAAGAAGGCCUUAGGGUUGUAAAGCUCUUUCAGCCGGGAAGAAAACGCAUGGGUUAAUACCCUGUGUGGAUGACGGUACCGGAAUAAGAAGCACCGGCUAACUACGUGCCAGCAGCCGCGGUAAUGU